rnacentral:rRNA from 1 species
AAAGGGUCCGUAGGCGGUUUAAUAAGUCAGUGGUGAAAGCCCAUCGCUCAACGGUGGAACGGCCAUUGAUACUGUUAAACUUGAAUUAUUAGGAAGUAACUAGAAUAUGUAGUGUAGCGGUGAAAUGCUUAGAGAUUACAUGGAAUACCAAUUGCGAAGGCAGGUUACUACUAAUGGAUUGACGCUGAUGGACGAAAGCGUGGGUAGCGAACAGGAUUAGAUACCCGUGU